UUCCUUCUGUCAUCUCUUCUUCUCUUCGAAUUGGUGUCCUAGAAAAAAAAUUUCCAGACCACGGUUGCGUGCAUCUUGCUUUCGAUAGUGCAUCUCCCUCCUUUUGGUGGUUCCACCUUACUCCUUCUAAUGUUUUGUGCGUCUUCCAGAACUAGGGUUGCGUCUAACGCUUCUUGCCUUCGAGAGUGCGUCUUCCUCCUUCUAGUGUGUGGUGCAUUUUCUAGAACUACUGCUGCAUUUUCAUGCCAGUUGUUCGGUGUUUGUAAUCUUUGCUCAAGAUCCAACACCAGUAGAGCAAUUUGAUGUCUCUCUAGUUUGAGUGAUUAAGAGAGAGCGAAAUGGACUAAAGAGCCCAAGCAACGCAAGAAGGAAUCCCCUAAAAUUAAGCCUCCCAAGCAAGACGAAUACUUCGAAGACAAAAGCAAUUUAGAGGACUUGCGGAGGGUAUUUCAAUACAAGUGGAAUUUCUCUAGCCUGGAAGU